rnacentral:rRNA from 1 species
UACGGAGGAGGCAAGCGUUAUCCGGAGUUAUUGGGCGUAAAGCGUCCGCAGGUGGCACUUCAAGUCUGUCGUCAAAGACCGGGGCUUAACUUCGGAAAGGCAGUGGAAACUGAACAGCUAGAGUAUGGUAGGGGCAGAGGGAAUUCCUGGUGUAGCGGUGAAAUGCGUAGAGAUCAGGAAGAACAUCGGUGGCGAAGGCGCUCUGCUGGACCAUAACUGACACUCAGGGACGAAAGCUAGGGGAGCGAAUGGG